GGGAGGAUUCGACCCCUUCCGUGCCGGAGCUAACGCGUUAAACGUGCCGCCUGGGAAGUACGGUCGCAAGAUUAAAACACAAAGAAAUUGACGGGGGCCCGCACAAGCGGUGGAGUAUGUGGCUUAAUUCGAUGCAACGCGAAGAACCUUACCUGGCCUUGACAUGCAUCUCUAAACCGGUGAAAGCCGGGGAGUGUAGCAAUACACAAUUUGCACAGGUGCUGCAUGGCUGUCGUCAGCUCGUGUCGUGAGAUGUUGGGUUAAGUCCCGCAACGAGCGAACCCCUGUGAUCUGUUGCCACCGGCGCAAGCCGAGCACUCUGAUCAGACUGCCCUGUGAAACGGGGAGGAAGGUGGGGACGACGUCAAGUCAGUAUGGCCCUUACGGCCAGGGCUGCACACGUACUACAAUGCCCAGGACAGAAAGAACCGAAACCGCGAGGUGGAGGAAAUCAUUAAACCUGGGCCCAGUUCGGAUUGAAGGCUGCAACUCGCCUUCAUGAAGUUGGAAUCGCUAGUAAUGCCGUAUCAGCUACGACGGCGUGAAUACGUUCCCGGGCCUUGUACACACCGCCCGUCACAUCAUGGAAGUCGUUUGUACCCGAAGUCGCUGCGCCAACCCGCAAGGGAGGC
rnacentral:rRNA from 1 species